CACCUCCGGCGGCCCCUUCGCCCGUCGGAGGCGUGGCUUCUCCACCUCUGCAAACACCAAGCAUGCCCCUUCCUCCCAACUCUCAGCCUUUGCCUCCUUUAGCGUCUGCCCCGCCUCCCCUAUCUGUCCCCAGCUCUCCUGCACCUCCUGCGGCACCAAGCACUAGCCCCCAAGGUGCCGAUUUCAUUUCCCCGAAUGUCUGCGUGUGAUUUUGUGGUGAAAGAUAAAUAGAUUCUAUCACCAGGACUGAUUAGUGCAAUGUUGUUUUCGCAAGUCAGCAUUGAAUACAUUAGAAGUUUCGUUUCCGAUUAAAGCAGUAGUAAUGUCAUGUGUGUAUGAGUCUCAAAAACAUGUCGAACCAAUCAGCUGGACUAUGAUUUACCUGUGGUAGAUGUGUAUUGGCAAGACUAAGCGAGAGGGAGAGUUUACCAUUGCAGGGAAGACUUGGUGUGUAGCAAAGGCAGGAGCUCCAGAGCAGGACAUGCUGAAUGCACUCAACUACGCAUGUGGCGUGGGAACAACGGACUGCUCCGCCAUACAGCCCGGUGCCAUGUGUUACUUUCCC
rnacentral:lncRNA from 1 species